GGAGGGGCAAGAAGCUUGUGCCACUUAUAGCCUUCUGAUACUGGGCAGGGAUGUCUGCUACAAAGGAACCUGGUGCCGGCCUCGGAAACCCCCUGUACCAACCACUCCAAGGACUGGUAAACAUCUUCCUCUGUUCUGGCCCUG
rnacentral:lncRNA from 1 species